rnacentral:sRNA from 1 species
ACGAAUGUAGCGGUGGUCGGAGAGCGUC